AUACGUAGGUGACAAGCGUUAUCCGGAUUUACUGGGCGUAAAGGGCGUGUAGGCGGUCUUGCAAGUCAGAAGUGAAAUUCCUGAGCUCAACUCGGGCGCUGCUUCUGAAACUGCAGGACUUGAGUGCUGGAGGGGAUAGCGGAAUUCCUAGUGGAGCGGUAAAAUGCGCAGAUAUUAGGAAGAACACCGGUGGCGAAGGCGGCUAUCUGGACAGUAACGGACGCUGAGGCGCGAAAGCGUGGGGAGCAAACAGGAUUAGAUCCCCGGGUAGUCCACGCCGUAAACGAUGAAUACUAGGUGUAGGGGGUAUCGACUCCCUCUGUGCCGCAGUUAACACAAUAAGUAUUCCGCCUGGGGAGUACGGCCGCAAGGUUGAAACUCAAAUGAAUUGGCGGGG
rnacentral:rRNA from 1 species